rnacentral:rRNA from 1 species
CCUACGGGAGGCAGCAGUGGGGAAUAUUGGGCAAUGGGCGCAAGCCUGACCCAGCACUGCCGCGUGAAGGAAGAAGGAUUUCGGGUUGUAAACUUCUUUGACAGGGGAAGAGCAGAAGACGGUACCCUGAAAACAAGCCACGGCUAACUACGUGCCAGCAGCCGCGGUAAUACGUAGGUGGCAAGCGUUGUCCGGAUUUACUGGGUGUAAAGGGCGUGUAGCCGGGAAGGCAAGUCAGAUGUGAAAUCUGGAGGCUCAACCUCCAAAUUGCAUUUGAAACUGUUUUUCUUGAGUACUGGAGAGGCAGACGGAAUUCCUUGUGUAGCGGUGAAAUGCGUAGAUAUAAGGAGGAACACCAGUGGCGAAGGCGGUCUGCUGGACAGCAACUGACGGUGAGGCGCGAAAGCGUGGGGAGCAAACAGGAUUAGAUACCCUAGUAGUC